GCUGGCAUAAUGAUGAUGACCCUUUGCCGUUUACCCAGCUGAGUUCUGUGAUGAAUAAUGUUCUAUCUGAUGUGCCAGC
rnacentral:snoRNA from 1 species